CCUUUUCCUAGAUCAUUCUUUCUUCCCUUCUUUUGCCUUUUGGGAUCUUGCAUUUUUCUUCUUGGCUUUAAGAGGGCCCACAAGUAGUUUCAUUAAUAAGUGAAUAAGCAUUUGGCUUAAGGAAUAACUUUAAAUGGAAAUACCAAAGUAGAGAGGAAACAGAAAACUUCUCAAAGACAGACUUGUUUAAAACACUCGUUUGUUGAUUCAGAUUGAAGCAGUAAGUUUCUCUGUGAACGGAUGAUGCUCGUUUCUGGGGCUCUGCGUGCCCUGGACUUGCAGCCACAGGAGGCACUUGCCCCCCUCUUGCAGGAGUGGCUGGGCUCUUCUUUGGUAGAACUAGGGACGUUGCCUUGUGAUAUAGCCUGCGAAAGAUUUGUUGUUUGCACAAGAGACGUCUUUAUAAAAUAUACGGCAUGUCAAACCCUUUGUGGCUUUAGUUGUUGGUAUAACUACUUACUCCCUACCUUCUGCUUAUGGGGGUUACUCAGCUCAUGCUCUGCUUGGCUGAUUAAUAUGCCCAGUUACUUUAACUGCUCAUUUUAUUCCAUCAUAGAGUCCAACUUGAACAUUUUCUUAGUAAGUACAAAUCUGCUUGAGGAAGGAGGUGAAUGCUAACUGAAAUGUCAGCCUUUUGUGCUAGUCAAGGAACCAAUAAAUUUUUUUAAAAAAUUGCAGAUGAGCAGCGCACAAGCAGCUUGCACAUUCCUGUCACCAAAGCGUAAGAUCUUCAUGAGAUGGCAUUUGGAAGCCCCUGUUCUUUCCUUGGAGGUCCCUGAUGCUACAGAGCUAACAGCUCUGCGGAAGCUUAAAGCGUAGGACCACCUUCCGAGGUUGGAACUGUUUCUGUGCCUAAUGAAGAGAUUGAAGACCAUGGGCAGAUCUAGCUAGUUGUGUCAGCACCAGAGCCAGGGAUUCCUUGCACACCCGUCCACAAUCAUGCACAAUUAUUAUUAUGUUUUUACUGAAUUGUUUAGUUAGUCAAGUCAUAGAUUUUUCUAUUUAUUAGGGACAAUUUGUAACAUUUAAAAUAAAAAAACUGCCUGAACAUCU